AGUCAAUGCUCCAUAAAUAUCUUAAUUAUCUUUUGUCUGACACACUCCAGGGCGUCGCUGGUGACCACGCUGGGAACCUGGGAUUUCCCGGCGGAACGGAGGUUCGAAACGUGCGACCGCAAAUACCGGAAAAUGCCCUCUCCUCCGGAGCGCUUUUGUCAGAGUUUUCCGGCAGGAACUUGGCCAAUUUUGGAACCCCGAGCCGGCGCGGUGUCUGUCCGCUGGAAGCUGUGAUGUUAAAUUCCCGCGUUCCUGCACCAGAUCUCCACAGGGGAGGCGAGAGUGGGAAAUUGACGCAAUUAUCUGGGCAAUUCAGGUUUUAAAUAAACCACUUCUGCAUCA
rnacentral:lncRNA from 1 species